CCAUAAUUCUAAAUAAUCCUUUCUUUUUACCUGAAAAGUUUGUCAAGGACGAAACCACAAGAAACUCUGAAAUAAAAGAGGCAAAGAACAUUCAGGGAGACUGAACAGAAGAUGCCAAAAACGUGGCACACAUACUGAGGAAAGGCCAUGUGUAGACACACAUAAAGGAGGUGUCCAUCUGCAAACCAAGAAGAGAGCCUUCACCAAAACCCUUCCAUGCUGGCACCUUGACCUUGAACUUAUGGCCUCCAGAAUUGAGAAGAUGAAUUGAAAUCGUAUUGAAGGGACUUGGAUGACUCCAUCAAAUGUCUCCUCAUCCCAGGGAUAAUGUUUAAAACGUCAUCUAAUCUGGACAAAAAUAUUUGAAAACAAACAAACAAAAAAGGCGGGGGGCACCAGUGAGCAUACGGAGACUGUAUUACGUAAGAAGAAAGGAAGAUGUGAAUAUAGUAGAGACUGGAGGAGUUCACAUUUCAAGUUUCAAGGAGACACAGAAGAUAGCCAAUUGUAGAAAAGAAGAAAAAACUUUAAAGGUAAAGAAUAAAAGAAACAUAUCUACCUAAAAGAAA
rnacentral:lncRNA from 1 species